GGAGUUGUAGCUCAGUGGUAGAGUACUUGCUUAGCAUGUGUGAGGCACUGGGUUCAAUUCUCAGCACCA
rnacentral:tRNA from 1 species